rnacentral:lncRNA from 1 species
AUUUAUAAAUAUGAAUAUAUCUGACUAGUUUUGCUGUUUCAUUACAUUAAAUAGUUUGAAAAUACCUCUAUUACAUAUCUAUCAUAGAGCAAUAUGAGCACCUGAGUGAAACACCUAAGGAAUAUAGAAGCCCAGAUACUCAUCAACUUUGAACCUGACAUCAGUUUUUAUAUGAAGUACGUAAAUGAUAUAUUAACAGUAUGGCAAUGGCCUACUGUUAAUAUAUCAUUUAGAAUAAUGUGAAUAUCAUGCUAAAUUCAUCAUAUAGAUGAAUUUAGCAUGGCAUUCACAUUACCAACAUAUGGGCUCAUUCUUAAAAGAGACCAUGUAAGCAAUCAUAGUUUUCAUUACCUGGACAUUAUAUUGAAGAUAGAUGACCUAGGAUUAAAAACGGCCAUAUACAGGAAGCCAACAUAUCAGUUCAUCUUAAUACCAGAUGAUUUCCAGACCCAAUAUCGUAUAAAAAUGCUGCAUUUAAGUCUAUUCUGAAGAGCACUACUUUAUUCCACUGAUCGACAAGACCGAGAUGAAGAAUUUAAGUAUAUAUAUGAAGCCAGCUAUCAACAUGGAUAUAAAACAUGAUUCCUAAAAACAUCCACUAUGAAGUCCAAGGGGCACUGAUCUAAACAUGGACCACACAUUG